rnacentral:rRNA from 1 species
AUUGAACGCUGGCGGCAGGCCUAACACAUGCACGUCGAGCGAGCGGCGGACGGGUGAGUAAUGUCUGGGAAACUGCCUGAUGGAGGGGGAUAACUACUGGAAACGGUAGCUAAUACCGCAUACCAUCAGAUGUGCCCAGAUGGGAUAAGCUAGUAGGUGGGGAAAUGGCUCACCUAGGCGACGCUCCCUAGCUGGUCUGAGAGGAUGACCAGCCAAACUAGAAGUGAGACACGGGCCAGACUCCUAGGGGAGGCAGCAGUGGGGAAUAUUGCACAAGGGGCGCAAGCCUGAUGCAGCCAGGCCGCGUGUGUGAAGAAGGCCUUCGGGUUGUAAAGCACUUUCAGCGGGGAGGCGUUACCCGCAGAAGAAGCACCGGAUAACUCCGUGCCAGCAGCCGCGGUAAUU